AUUGAACGCUGGCGGCAUGCUUUACACAUGCAAGUCGAACGGCAGCGCGGGCUUCGGCCUGGCGGCGAGUGGCGAACGGGUGAGUAAUGCAUCGGAACGUGCCCAGUAGUGGGGGGUAGCCCGGCGAAAGCCGGAUUAAUACCGCAUACGACCUGAGGGUGAAAGCGGGGGACCGAAAGGCCUCGCGCUAUUGGAGCGGCCGAUGUCGGAUUAGCUAGUUGGUGGGGUAAAGGCUUACCAAGGCGACGAUCCGUAGCUGGUCUGAGAGGACGACCAGCCACACUGGGACUGAGACACGGCCCAGACUCCUACGGGAGGCAGCAGUGGGGAAUUUUGGACAAUGGGGGCAACCCUGAUCCAGCCACGCCGCGUGCGGGAAGAAGGCCUUCGGGUUGUAAACCGCUUUUGUUCGGGAAGAAAUCCUCUGGGCUAAUACCCCGGGGGGAUGACGGUACCGGAAGAAUAAGCACCGGCCAACUACGUG
rnacentral:rRNA from 1 species